UGAGUGGAUAUCGUCCUCAUCUUGCAACAAGUUUCAGAUCCGAUCUUCAUCUUUUCGUCUUCCGUUCAAUCAACGCGUUAUUCAAGCGGUUCUGUUCACGAUGCACGUUCUGAUGCGGUUGUUUUAUGUUUUUACGGAUCGAUUUGUGGCGAUUUUGCAGGAUGCCUAGGGUUUUGACGCGAGAGUAUGACUGUUUUUUUUGUUGAUCUACCUUUGAUCGGCGGUAACUGGAUUGUUUGGCGUGGAUUUGGUUAUAAACAUCUCAGAUCUGCAGUCUCUUGACGGCGUGUACGGUAUGGAAGGUUUUUUGGUAUCUGGUGACUUCCUGUCUGUGUGUUUUGUUGUGAUGGAAGUGUUGACCUUGAGUGAUUCGAUUGACCUUCAGAAUCGUCACAACUGGUCAGAUUUGCCUUGUUUUGGAACUAGAUGUUGAUGUAUAGCUGAGAAGUGACGUACGGUUAUUGGCACCCAGGUUUGUAUGUAAUUGGAAGUAACGGAUCUCGAUUUAUGUAGGGGUCCUGUAUGUCCUAUUACACCUUGUUGUUACUUUGACCUUUGCCAUGUUGGGUGCGCUCGCAUGGCAGGUCGCCUAUCUUAAUAAAAAAUCCUAUUUUUGUUUUGGGGAGAGGUCGCACGGGGUUGCCCGGGAUCUCUCCUCUGGUGUGCGCCUGUUUUUGUGUGUGUUUGUGUAUCUCUAUUAGAUGCCUAGCACUGCUCAAAUCCUCUCUACAGUUCGAAUAGUGGCAACAUCACCAACAAUUAUUCAACAUACGCUAUCAAAACUAACAUAUUCCUCGCUAUCACUUGAAGGUAAUUUUAUUCAACUGCUUAUCAUGGUAGUAUACAAUUUAAAGCACAAUUCAUGUUUAUAGUUGGUCUAUCUUGAUGGGUUUAAUUUGAAGCGAAUGUAUAUUCUAGUUUCCCCAUCCCCACAUUCUAGUCGUCUCAUUUUCGGGUCAGCAAACUUGGACUGCCUUGCUAAUAGUUUUGGUCGGUUUAUGAAAGACAAAACUAGAUCUUGAUUGCAUCAAUGAGCAAAAAUUUCCAAAUCCUAUGCUAUUUGUUGAAAAAAAGAAUUUCUCAAUACAAGUGGAACAUUGACUUAUAUUGGCAACAUGUUUUUCCUAAAGAAAUAAUGUUUUUUGAGUUUUCUAAGUUUGUACUGGUUGGUCCUGAAAUGUGGUCAUUGGCAUCAACAUUUAUAUGUGCGGUGUGUAAGCGGAAGUAACAGGUCUUGUUGUUAGUAGGGAUCCUUCAUGUCUUAUCGCACCUUGUUAUUUGACCUUUGCCAUGUAGGGUGCGCUCUCAUGGCAAGUCCCCCUUUCUAAUAAAAGAUUGUAUUUUUGUUGGGAGAGGUUGCACGGGGGUACCCGGGAUCUCACCUCUGGUGUGUCUUUUUGUUUCUCCGUUGGCUCUUUAGCAGUGUUCAAAUCAUCCUAACAGUUCAAUUAGAGUCAACAUCAACAGUUACACAAUAUGGGAUCAAAAUUAACAAUUUCAAGACCGUCGCAUGAAGGUACUUUUGUGCAGUUGAAUGUCAUGGUAUUAUACAUUUUAUAACACAGUUGACGUCUAUAACUGGUCAGCAACAUUUAAAAUAUUUAUAGAUGUCUACAACUGAUCAGCAACAUUUAAAAUAUUUAUAGAUGUCUACAACUGAUCAUCCGAUGUUCAAUUAUUUCGGAAGUUUUUAUUAAAGAGCCAGAGCACCGAAUUGCAUCAGUGUGCAAGAAUUUUUAACUGUUUGUGUCGGUGCACAAUGACAUACUUUGUGGCUAAAUUCUUCCUAAAAAAUAAUGCUUUUCAAGUAUUCUUUGUUCGUAGUGCUGUCAAGUCUACUUCAUCGGAUAGUCAUUCAUGAAGUACCAUAAUUCGAGGAUGGUAAUACGACAAUGUACGAAACACCUAACGCGUUUAUGAACUUGCAAACUGAAUAUGGUAUCAUCAUUUUAAACUAGACUUUUACAAUGGUAAUUAUUCCAAUUCGGUUUAUAAUCUAUUAAUUCUUGUAGUUUUCUUGUGGUAAUUUAUGCAUCAAGUUAAUUUACGACAAUUAUUUUUGCAUUUUCGAGGCUUCUUUUGAAAGAACAUUAGUUAUGUACUGUUGGAGUAGUGUUGUAUUGUAUUGGAGGCUAAAAUUUGUAUAAUUUGAGCCUUGUAUUUGAUUUGGGAGUUGGUCUUGCUGAUGCUCUGUUUCUUGUGGACUACGAUUUAAGUUUAUGAUCUCUGUCAAGAAUCUGGAUGUGGCACCUGGUCUUCAACAUCUUUUGAAGCUUGACACGGUACCCGAAGAUGGUUGUUUUUUUGGUUUCGUGGAGCUGAUCUUGCUGCUGCCCUGGUGAUUAAGUGUCUACGUCGACCGGCUAUCUAUAUGUUGACUGUUUCUUGCUGUUUGCUGUGGUCUCAAGUUUCUAGCACUGACGUUAUGAUGGUUGAACAUGAAUUGCAAGUUCCUGAAUAUCGAUGAUUGAGUUGAACCCACCCAGGGUUUCUUUUCGUCCAGACUCUGUAGGGUUUGAUGGAAUAACAUCAAAUCCCGGUGGAUCUAAACGCAUAUCUUGCGCUGCAAUGGUUCAUUGAGCUCCCACUUUGAAAAUCUGAUGCAUGGAUGUGUUUGUUUUGGUGGUUAUUAUUGUUGCUGAACCUUGUUUGUCACAGCUGUUUGGUCACGUUGGUCGUCGUUCCCAGUAUAGUAGACCACAAGAUGUUCUAUGAUUGCUGGUGCUGGCGUUUAUCAUGGAAUUUAAAAGGAGCAAUUUUGUUAUGCAGUAUGAAAAAAUCCCUUAGUUCAGAUGUGUGUUGUUUUAAAAUGCAAACUGAUUUUUUUUUGAGAAGAUCUUUUUAUUGCUUUUUUAAAAUUCUAAUGGUUAGAGCUUGGACUGCCUUGCUAAAUAUAAAUAGUUUUGAGAUGGGCUUGUUUCAAGCUUAACUGCAAAGCUUGAGCGG
rnacentral:lncRNA from 1 species